AAAGGUGGUUUAUAAGAACAUCAAGAUUAUUUUUUACAUGUUUUAUUGGCUAUUUUCUGUUUGACUCUCCGUAUUUUCAUAGCUAGACCGGUCAUCGGUCCAGAAAUUAAUGUAAUGUUUACAAACACUUUUUUUCUACACGAAGUUUUUGACGCAAUUUUACAAAAAAAUGAGACGAAAGACAUAUGAUUUUCAUUGGAUUUAUUGAAAGAUAUAUGUAAACAGUUUCAGAUAAGGUAUUACUUGAAGUGAUUGAAAUUCUACUUUUGGUCAAAUUUUGGGAAAAUAUGUGACAUCUUUUCCCCCCUUUUUGCUAUAUUUUAUAUCAAAAGAAUGCAGAUUGUUGCCAUGGAUACACCAAAAAGAAAUUAUAUUUAACCAUUUUAUAUACUGGAUAUGAAAUCUAUGGAAGAUUCUGAUUACAUACAUAUGCACAUAUAUGACACAAACAGUAAGCUUAAUAUUGCAAGAAGGCAAUGAAAAGGGGAUGGGAAAAUUUAUGAGGGAAAAUUUUAACAUUUUUUCCUAACUGUUUAUUGCUACCUUAUGGCAUACUUACCAAGCUCAGAAUUGUAUAAUUUAAGACUUUUCAUACCACAAAUCUAUAUAUAUUUAGAUUCUAAGUCAACUUCUGAGAGGAUUAAGUGUUUAAGAAUGACAAUAUAUGUCAAUUUUAUUGUUUACAGUCCUUAGCAACCAAAAUUAGACAUUUUGACACAAGGCUUAUAAGUGUACUGUAUUUGCUUAACCCUUGCUUCUGAAGGAUUGUGCAGUAUGUAGUAGCCUAAGUAUUGAAUAUUUUGUAUUUUUUCUUGCGAAUAUAUCAAAUUAUUAUUUUUAUCAAGAUUUCAUGUUACAUUUUGACAAAUAUUAAAUGUAUAGUUGAUUCAGCUGUAAGAAAUUGAUUCCCCAUUACCAAGUUUUUUAAUCAAGUCUUUGGUAUACAUUAAACAUAAAGAUUAACAUUUUCAUGCUUGAAAUUGUUAAAUUUUGUACAAUUUUGCAUCAUCAGAGGUCUUAUAAAGAUUUUCAACAUUAAAAAACUGACAAAAGAGGUAUAGUUUUUAAGAUUUUGCCAAAAAUUGAGGUAGAAAAAAGAUUUUACACUUUGACUUGGCACCUUUCUUUAAAUCAGUUUUUGUCGCGUUUCAGUGUCAACUGCUAACCUUCAUAAAAUAUUCAUUACUCAACCAAUUUUCAAAAAUAAAAGGCCAUUUUACUGGUUUUAGCUAGCAGAACACAGAAAAUUAGUUAAAAGGGAGAAUUUGAAAAAAAUAUUUACUAUUAAGGCAUACUUACCAAGCUCAGAAUUGUAUAAUUUAAGACUUUUCAUACCACAAAUCUAUAUAUAUUUAGAUUCUAAGUCAACUUCUGAGAGGAUUAAGUGUUUAAGAAUGACAAUAUAUGUCAAUUUUAUUGUUUACAGUCCUUAGCAACCAAAAUUAGACAUUUUGACACAAGGCUUAUAAGUGUACUGUAUUUGCUUAACCCUUGCUUCUGAAGGAUUGUGCAGUAUGUAGUAGCCUAAGUAUUGAAUAUUUUGUAUUUUUUCUUGCGAAUAUAUCAAAUUAUUAUUUUUAUCAAGAUUUCAUGUUACAUUUUGACAAAUAUUAAAUGUAUAGUUGAUUCAGCUGUAAGAAAUUGAUUCCCCAUUACCAAGUUUUUUAAUCAAGUCUUUGGUAUACAUUAAACAUAAAGAUUAACAUUUUCAUGCUUGAAAUUGUUAAAUUUUGUACAAUUUUGCAUCAUCAGAGGUCUUAUAAAGAUUUUCAACAUUAAAAAACUGACAAAAGAGGUAUAGUUUUUAAGAUUUUGCCAAAAAUUGAGGUAGAAAAAAGAUUUUACACUUUGACUUGGCACCUUUCUUUAAAUCAGUUUUUGUCGCGUUUCAGUGUCAACUGCUAACCUUCAUAAAAUAUUCAUUACUCAACCAAUUUUCAAAAAUAAAAGGCCAUUUUACUGGUUUUAGCUAGCAGAACACAGAAAAUUAGUUAAAAGGGAGAAUUUGAAAAAAAUAUUUACUAUUAAGGUAGCAAUACACAGUUAGGAGUUUGGUUUCGCAUUUUGGCCCCGGUGGAUUUUUCAAAUAUGAAAGUUAUUGUGUAAUAAAAUUCAUUUUUAGACAGCUGAGUACUAAUUUAGCCUUCAAAGGUGGUUUAUAAGAACAUCAAGAUUAUUUUUUACAUGUUUUAUUGGCUAUUUUCUGUUUGACUCUCCGUAUUUUCAUAGCUAGACCGGUCAUCGGUCCAGAAAUUAAUGUAAUGUUUACAAACACUUUUUUUCUACACGAAGUUUUUGACGCAAUUUUACAAAAAAAUGAGACGAAAGACAUAUGAUUUUCAUUGGAUUAAUUGAAAGAUAUAUGUAAACAGUUUCAGAUAAGGUAUUACUUGAAGUGAUUGAAAUUCUACUUUUGGUCAAAUUUUGGGAAAAUAUGUGACAUCUUUUCCCCCCUUUUUGCUAUAUUUUAUAUCAAAAGAAUGCAGAUUGUUGCCAUGGAUACACCAAAAAGAAAUUAUAUUUAACCAUUUUAUAUACUGGAUAUGAAAUCUAUGGAAGAUUCUGAUUACAUACAUAUGCACAUAUAUGACACAAACAGUAAGCUUAAUAUUGCAAGAAGGCAAUGAAAAGGGGAUGGGAAAAUUUAUGAGGGAAAAUUUUAACAUUUUUUCCUAACUGUUUAUUGCUACCUUAUGGCAUACUUACCAAGCUCAGAAUUGUAUAAUUUAAGACUUUUCAUACCACAAAUCUAUAUAUAUUUAGAUUCUAAGUCAACUUCUGAGAGGAUUAAGUGUUUAAGAAUGACAAUAUAUGUCAAUUUUAUUGUUUACAGUCCUUAGCAACCAAAAUUAGACAUUUUGACACAAGGCUUAUAAGUGUACUGUAUUUGCUUAACCCUUGCUUCUGAAGGAUUGUGCAGUAUGUAGUAGCCUAAGUAUUGAAUAUUUUGUAUUUUUUCUUGCGAAUAUAUCAAAUUAUUAUUUUUAUCAAGAUUUCAUGUUACAUUUUGACAAAUAUUAAAUGUAUAGUUGAUUCAGCUGUAAGAAAUUGAUUCCCCAUUACCAAGUUUUUUAAUCAAGUCUUUGGUAUACAUUAAACAUAAAGAUUAACAUUUUCAUGCUUGAAAUUGUUAAAUUUUGUACAAUUUUGCAUCAUCAGAGGUCUUAUAAAGAUUUUCAACAUUAAAAAACUGACAAAAGAGGUAUAGUUUUUAAGAUUUUGCCAAAAAUUGAGGUAGAAAAAAGAUUUUACACUUUGACUUGGCACCUUUCUUUAAAUCAGUUUUUGUCGCGUUUCAGUGUCAACUGCUAACCUUCAUAAAAUAUUCAUUACUCAACCAAUUUUCAAAAAUAAAAGGCCAUUUUACUGGUUUUAGCUAGCAGAACACAGAAAAUUAGUUAAAAGGGAGAAUUUGAAAAAAAUAUUUACUAUUAAGGUAGCAAUACACAGUUAGGAGUUUGGUUUCGCAUUUUGGCCCCGGUGGAUUUUUCAAAUAUGAAAGUUAUUGUGUAAUAAAAUUCAUUUUUAGACAGCUGAGUACUAAUUUAGCCUUCAAAGGUGGUUUAUAAGAACAUCAAGAUUAUUUUUUACAUGUUUUAUUGGCUAUUUUCUGUUUGACUCUCCGUAUUUUCAUAGCUAGACCGGUCAUCGGUCCAGAAAUUAAUGUAAUGUUUACAAACACUUUUUUUCUACACGAAGUUUUUGACGCAAUUUUACAAAAAAAUGAGACGAAAGACAUAUGAUUUUCAUUGGAUUUAUUGAAAGAUAUAUGUAAACAGUUUCAGAUAAGGUAUUACUUGAAGUGAUUGAAAUUCUACUUUUGGUCAAAUUUUGGGAAAAUAUGUGACAUCUUUUCCCCCCUUUUUGCUAUAUUUUAUAUCAAAAGAAUGCAGAUUGUUGCCAUGGAUACACCAAAAAGAAAUUAUAUUUAACCAUUUUAUAUACUGGAUAUGAAAUCUAUGGAAGAUUCUGAUUACAUACAUAUGCACAUAUAUGACACAAACAGUAAGCUUAAUAUUGCAAGAAGGCAAUGAAAAGGGGAUGGGAA